rnacentral:rRNA from 1 species
GAUCUCAGCUCAAGUAAGAGCACCCGCCGAAUUUAAGCAUAUCAAUAAGCGGAGGAAAGGGCGAAUCGUAAAGCCUGACGG